UGGAGGAAUUCCCGAGUGGCCAAAGGGGGCAGACUGUAAAUCUGUUGCGUUAGCUUCGAUGGUUCAAAUCCAUCUUCCUCCACCAA
rnacentral:tRNA from 2 species